rnacentral:sRNA from 1 species
UUAAAAGUUACUAAAUUAGGAAAAUUUAUUAAUUUAUCGAUAAAUUAAAACUUUUUAAAUUAUAAAAAUUUUCAGUUCCAACAUUAUUAAUUUAUAGAGGUUUUACUGUAUAUAGAUUAAUU